rnacentral:tRNA from 1 species
GAGGGUAUAGCUCAGUGGUAGAGUGAAUGCCUAGCAUGUACAAGGUCUUAGGUUCAAUUCCCAGUACCUGUU